rnacentral:lncRNA from 1 species
CUCACGAUUACAAGUCCGGAAGCCUAACCACUAGGCUACCCACGCCACUUUGUGUGUGUAAAAUAUAUCUAUGUGAUCAUAUUAUAGAUGGUUUAUUUCGUAUCGAGAUAAUCUUGAGGUAUGAUAAAGUGUAUAAUAAACGGUCGUCAAGUUUCAAGGAGAAUAAAGGUCCUUAGAAGAAUAAGUGUAUUAUUCUAUUAUUAUCAUGGCUUGAUGUGUGACAGCUAAGACUGCUCUUUAUUUAUAUAUUAUUUCUCUCUCUCUCUCUCUCUCUCUCUCUCUCUCUCUCUCUCUCUCUCUCUCUUCUCUCUCCUUGUUCAUUCUCUCUCUUUCUCUCUGUGCCCCUCCCCCUCUUUAUGCUUUUGUUAUUGCCCCAUUCCUUAUAAUAAAUAUGGCAUUCCCUCUCUACCCAGCAGACUUUCUCGCCUGAGCUGACCCACAACAAUAAAUACAGGACAAACUCUCUAAAGAUAACGUACAUUAACUUUACGAUUAUGAUCGACUCGUAUCUUACACCACUGUUUAAAUGAAGAACCUAGUAAAUGAAAAACUCGGUCAAAUAAACGUUUUCGAAUAUCCGAUACAAACUCUGCUGCGAUGAAAUAGAAAUUAGGUUCGAAUUUAUAAAACUGACCUCCAAGUUAUCCCGCUACACGCUAAACAUCCGUACUUCUUAGAAGAAACCUCUGUGCCAAAGUCUAUCAAUCAAUUUUUCGACAAAACGUACUUUGUUUUUCAAUUCCAAAGGCAGCAUUAUGAUGUUAUACUGAGUUGUGCGUACUACAAUGUUCUAAGACACGACGCAUUUUAUGACCCUCUUACCAUGAAAGGUUAUUUAUUAUUAUACUGUGGGGAAGGCCUAAGUCCUUCUUCACCUGUUUGUGUUCUCAAAACAAUAUUAUACAAUCCCACUGGGUCUGUAGGGUAGCGGUUAGGAGUUUCGCUGUGGCACACAAGAGACUCGGGUUCGAUUCCUCAGCGGGUAGAGUAGGUUAUAAAUGGAAAUGUAUUAAAAUUUUGGUUUUUACACCUAGACAUGUAGAAAAGUGAAUAUAACUAAAACUGGGAGUGUAACGACCGACAUAUCAAGGUACUAAAAUAUUUAUGACAAUAUAAAUUAAGACUGAUUCAAACUUCUCAAGACUAAAAACUCUUAAAUUGAGUUUAGGUUAUACAAAUGUGCUUUUAAAGAAGCACGUGUAGGUUGUGAGAGCAAACAUGUGUUGUUUGUUACAACUAGGCAUACAGAAAAAAGGAAUAGAUUCUAACUAAAGCUGAGAGUACAGCGACGACAUAUCUAGUUACUGAAAUAUUGACGGGGAUAAAAAAAAUACGGCUGAUUUCAGCUUCUCAGGACACGUACAAACUUGGAUAGAGUUCAUUCAGUAACACAAUGCUCGUGAAUUUGGACACGUAGAAUUUUAAAACACAAAAAAUGCUUACAGAAAAAUGAAAAGAUUGAGUGUAACAACCGACAUACAAAAAUAAUAAAAAUGUUUCAUAAAAUAAGACAUUGGAGACCAUGGUUCUCUAUUCAUUUUUCUCUCGGGCGCUUUCCGAAAAAUCUGCAUUAUCCUGCUCUUUCCUAGGUUUCUCUGGGUCUACGUCUUCGUCCUUUGCCUUCAAUUUUGCCAGUGAGAGCUAGAUGUUUAAAGUCUUGUUUCUAUUCACGUGCCACAGAAACUCAUAAAGACUGCCGGCCCGUACUGAUAUUCUUCAUAUCAGAGAAGCACCACGGAACAGGUAACCGUAGCAUACUACAUUGUGUUGAAAACACUUUCAUUAUGUAUAUCAUGCGUUGUUUUAUUCUCUUGCCAAAGAAAAGAAUAUUUGUUUAUGUAGUCUUACUUGAUGUCGUAAUCCAGCUACUUUGCGUUGUUAGGAUUCUAGUCAUAAUAACGUCCCAGAAUAAAGAUGGGUGGGUUAAGGGAAGGGGGAUGCGGGAAGGAGGGGGAGGGGAGAGAGACAGAAGAUAGUGUUAGGUCCGUUAGGUCCGUUGGUACCAUGACAGGCUUUAGUCUCGAACUUGAGUUGGUUGGGGAUUUCAUCCGACCUUGGUUUGUGCUAUAGGAAAUGAACGUUGAAUAAAUAUUACUAUAUAGUAUAAACUAUUUGAAAAAGUAUUUAUGAAGCGCGUAUUAUUAUUAUUUAUGCUCUACAGCAUUCUUUGUGAGCUUUACAACCCACACUGUGUUAUUUCCCCCAGCAGACCCUAGAACAAUCAGAAACAUUCUCGGCCUCACGGGAAGCACUCAGCCUAAGCAGCCGAUUAAACGCUCAAACAAAAG